rnacentral:ncRNA from 1 species
UGAGUAACGUAAAAAGAAGUUAUAAUACUUCUCGCCGAAUACGAAAGGGUUAUAAGGAAAGGGUAAACCGCCUUAUGUUAAAGCGGCCUCUAAGGACCAAAACCAAUGUUUGCUGAUGAGUUAAUAACUGAAAGUCCAAAUUUAAUUAUAUGGACCAGGAAAAUAAUGUUUAAAUAAAUUAUUUUAAAUUAUAAUAUUUUUUUAUUAAUUUAUUUUAAAAAAUUUUAUUAUAUUUAAUUAAUUUAAUCUACCGUACCCUAAUCCGACACAGGUUCGUAAGUAGAGAAUACUAAGGCGUAGAGCAAAAAGUUGUUAAGGAACUCGGCAAGUUCUCCUGCAGAAUGUUUUGGGAAAA